UGAAUCAUGUGUGUGCCAAUUAUGUAUAGGC
rnacentral:piRNA from 1 species